GUUUCGGCUCGGGGGUCAUCCCGACUUACCAAACCGAUGCAAACUCCGAAUACCGAAGAAUGUUAUCACGGGAGACACACGGCGGGUGCUAACGUCCGUCGUGAAGAGGGAAACAACCCAGACCGCCAGCUAAGGUCCCAAAGUCAUGGUUAAGUGGGAAACGAUGUGGGAAGGCACAGACAGCCAGGAUGUUGGCUUAGAAGCAGCCAUCAUUUAAAGAAAGCGUAAUAGCUCACUGGUCGAGUCGGCCUGCGCGGAAGAUGUAACGGGGCUAAACCAUGCACCGAAGCUGCGGCAGCGAACGUAUCACUUAAAACGCUUAACGUGACGGCAAAGCCGGCAUGUUCAAGCCACACUAAACGUUGAGUUGGCCGAUGUGCUGACAAACGAACAGGCGUUUUAAGGAUACGUUCGUUGGGUAGGGGAGCGUUCUGUAAGCCGUUGAAGGUGGUCUGUGAGGGCUGCUGGAGGUAUCAGAAGUGCGAAUGCUGACAUAAGUAACGAUAAUGCGGGUGAAAAACCCGCACGCCGGAAGACCAAGGGUUCCUGUCCAACGUUAAUCGGGGCAGGGUGAGUCGACCCCUAAGGCGAGGCUGAAAAGCGUAGUCGAUGGGAAACAGGUUAAUAUUCCUGUACUUGGUGUUACUGCGAAGGGGGGACGGAGAAGGCUAGGCUAGCCGGGCGACGGUUGUCCCGGUUUAAGCAUGUAGGCGGAGUGACCAGGUAAAUCCGGUUGCUUAUCAACGCUGAGGUGUGAUGACGAGUCACUACGGUGAUGAAGUAGUUGAUGCCAUGCUUCCAGGAAAAGCCUCUAAGCAUCAGGUAACAUGAAAUCGUACCCCAAACCGACACAGGUGGUCAGGUAGAGAAUACUCAGGCGCUUGAGAGAACUCGGGUGAAGGAACUAGGCAAAAUGGUGCCGUAACUUCGGGAGAAGGCACGCUGGCAUUAGGUAAAGGGACUUGCUCCCGGCGCCGAAGCCAGUCGCAGAUACCAGCUGGCUGCAACUGUUUAAUAAAAACACAGCACUGUGCAAACACGAAAGUGGACGUAUACGGUGUGACGCCUGCCCGGUGCUGGAAGGUUAAUUGAUGGGGUCAGCCGCAAGGCGAAGCUCUUGAUCGAAGCCCCAGUAAACGGCGGCCGUAACUAUAACGGUCCUAAGGUAGCGAAAUUCCUUGUCGGGUAAGUUCCGACCUGCACGAAUGGCGUAAUGAUGGCCAGGCUGUCUCCACCCGAGACUCAGUGAAAUUGAACUCGCUGUGAAGAUGCAGUGUACCCGCGGCAAGACGGAAAGACCCCGUGAACCUUUACUAUAGCUUGACACUGAACAUUGAGCCUUGAUGUGUAGGAUAGGUGGGAGGCAUAGAAGUGUGGACGCCAGUCUGCAUGGAGCCAACCUUGAAAUACCACCCUUUAAUGUUUGAUGUUCUAACU
rnacentral:rRNA from 1 species